AGAUUGAACGCUGGCGGCAUGCCUUACACAUGCAAGUCGAACGGCAGCACGGGAGCAAUCCUGGUGGCGAGUGGCGAACGGGUGAGUAAUACAUCGGAACGUGCCCAGUUGUGGGGGGAUAGCCCGGCGAAAGCCGGAUUAAUACCGCAUACGACCUACGGGUGAAAGCGGGGGAUCGCAAGACCUCGCGCUAUUGGAGCGGCCGAUGUCGGAUUAGCUUGUUGGUAGGGUAAAAGCCUACCAAGGCUACGAUCCGUAGCUGGUCUGAGAGGACGACCAGCCACACUGGGACUGAGACACGGCCCAGACUCCUACGGGAGGCAGCAGUGGGGAAUUUGGACAAUGGGCGAAAGCCUGAUCCAGCCAUGCCGCGUGCAGGAUGAAGGCCUUACGGGUUGUAAACUGUCGUUUUGUACGGAACGAAAAGUCUACUUCCUAAUAAAGAGGAUCAUGACGGUACGUAAGAAUAAGCACCGGACUAACUACGUGACCAGCAGCCGACGUAA
rnacentral:rRNA from 1 species